rnacentral:rRNA from 1 species
CCUUAACCUGCUAAAUAGCGACGCAUGUUUUAUUCCAAAGACAGGUGGACCGCUUCUUAGAGGGACUGUUGGCGUCUAGCCAACGGAGGUUUGAGGCAAUAACAGGUCUGUGAUGCCCUUAGAUGUUCUGGGCCGCACGCGCGCUACACUGACAGAGCCAGCGAGUGUACAACCUUGGCCGGAAGGUCCGGGUAAUCUUGUGAAACUCUGUCGUGCUGGGGAUCGUCCUUUGCAAUUAUCGGACUUGAACGAGGAAUUCCUUGUAAGCGCGAGUCAUCAGCUCGCGUUGAAUACUGUCCCUGCCCUUUGUACACACCGCCCGUCGCUACUACCGAUUGAAUGGCUUAGUGAGGCCUUCGGAUUUGCCUUUGGACAGCCCGCAAGGGUUGACUAGGGGGCGAAAAAGUUGGACAAACUUGGUCAUUUAGAGGAAGUAAAAGUCG